rnacentral:lncRNA from 1 species
UUAUUCUUGGACAUUUAAUUUGCGCAGAGAAAUUUUGAAAUUUUAUGGUUGCCAUGGUGACACUGUGCAUAACAACCUUCUAAAUUGAUUUUUUACUGUCUUGUGGUGGAGCUACAGGGUCAAAGCGGAGUCUAUUUGUUUUAGCAAAACCAGAGCUUCAAGUAGCUCUUUGUUCCAUGUUACUACGACUUUCUGGUCAAAAGUUAUGGAUCAUAAAGGGUGGAACUUACACAUGAGUCUUUUAGCUAACUGAAGGUUUUCUCUGAAACUGUUGCUGUACUGCCACGUUUUUGUCUGUUACCAUACCAGAGCAAACAGUAUAAUGGUAUGGGGCCACCUGGAGCUAAAGAGUUCAAGAGUGACAUUAAGAGGUUUAAUAGAUUUGACAGCUAUAUUACAUGUAUAUAAUUCUUCAGUGAGGUUUACUUAUUUGAAAGUAAAGAAAUCUGGGCUGUUAUAUUACAAAGGUUUUCCUCUCUUCUUUCCUCUAUUCGUCCCACUCUCCUCCCUAUAUUCCUCCCACC